rnacentral:rRNA from 1 species
UACGGAAGGGGCAAGCGUUGUUCGGAAUCACUGGGCGUAAAGCGCACGUAGGCGGAUGUGUCAGUCAGGGGUGAAAUCCCGGAGCUCAACUUCGGAACUGCCUUUGAUACAGCACGUCUUGAGUCCGAUAGAGGUGGGUGGAAUUCCUAGUGUAGAGGUGAAAUUCGUAGAUAUUAGGAAGAACACCGGUGGCGAAGGCGGCCCACUGGAUCGGUACUGACGCUGAGGUGCGAAAGCGUGGGGAGCAAACAGG